rnacentral:lncRNA from 1 species
GGGAGCUACUCAGGAGAGAAGCUGUGCACUCCAAUUCUGCCCAGACAGGCAGUGCCUGAGCAGGCCAGUCCAGGCCUCUCCUUCCAGCUCUCCCUCCAUCCCAGCUUUUUGGAGAGAAAGCAAACAGACCCUUGACCAGAUGGAGCCUUCCUCGCUAAUAAACCUAGCCUAAGACGUGUUCAAGAAGAAGUAGAAAAUUACCUUUCAGGAAGCCAACAUGAGGUCUCAGAGAGCCGCCCCCAGCCCGCAGCAGCGCUAUAGGCGGCUCAUGCCUGGAAGUGCCAGCACACGGUCCCCUGGCUGUGUGAGGAGCCACCACGCAGGGACAACAGAGGAAGGAGGGGAUGCCCACCCACAGGAAGGCUUCUGUAGCCCAGAGCCACCAAGGCAGGAAGCCAAGGUGGGAGGCUGCUGGGCACCUGCUGGUUAAAGAUGAGACCGGAUCAUGGGCACCCUGGACCAGACCCACAUUGAGCUGUAUCUCCCACCUGCACACUACCAACCUCGCUGUGGCUGCUGUGCAAACCUUGC